CAAUAGCGUAUAUUUAAGUUGUUGCAGUUAAAAAGCUCGUAGUUGGAUUUCGGGUGAGGAUGACCGGUCUGCCGUUGCGGUACGCACUGGACGUUUUCAUCUUGUUGUCGGGGACGCGCUUCUGGGCUUCACUGUUCGGGACGCGGAGUCGGCGCUGUUACUUUGAAAAAUUAGAGUGUUCAAAGCAGGCAAUCGCUCUGAAUACAUUAGCAUGGAAUAACGCUAUAGGACUCUGGUCCUAUUGUGUUGGUCUUCGGGACCGGAGUAAUGAUUAAGAGGGACAGUUGGGGGCAUCAGUAUUCUGAAGCGAGAGGUGAAAUUCUUGGACCUUCGGAGACUAACAAC
rnacentral:rRNA from 1 species